GUGUUUGACAAGGCAUAACCUAACAUCAAAAUCAAAACACUCGGACGUCGGGUGCCGAUGAAAUAUUUUUUUUAUUUUUUUAUUUAUUUUUUUACAUAAAAUAACUUUAUUAGACUUAAUUUAUUGUUGAUAUGUUGAUUAUACUAUUUUUAUAAUUUUUUUUAUGAAGAAAAUGACUUUUAGGAAAAUGGAGCAACUUGUGCUUUUCAAUGUCUGUUGGUGUCACUAGGGAUUUGGCUC
rnacentral:lncRNA from 1 species